rnacentral:rRNA from 1 species
CAAAGAGUGCGUAACAGCUCACUAGUCGAGUGACCCUGCGCCGAAAAUGUACCGGGGCUAAGCCUGAUACCGAAACUGCGGAUUGUAGGAAACUAUAGUGGUAGGGGAGCGUUGUAUACGAGCAGAAGCCGUACCGUGAGGAGCGGUGGAUUGUAUAGAAGUGAGAAUGCCGGUGUGAGUAGCGAGAUGUAGGUGAGAAUCCUACACACCGAAAGCCCAAGGAUUCCAGGGGAAGGUUCGUCCGCCCUGGGUAAGUCGGGACCUAACGCGAGGCCGAAAGGCGUAGUGGAUGGAAAGCAGGCGAAAGAUUCCUGCACCCGUAUAUGGAGCGAAGGAGUGACGGAGACGGAUAGUGUGACCCUCUUAAUGGAUUGAGGGCGAAGCGAAGCGGCUGGUUACCAGGCAAAUCCGGUAACCUUAAGGCUAGAGCGUGACAGGUAAGCGAAAUCUUAGGAAAGUAGCGAAGCACAUGAUGACGGCUUCCAGGAAAAGCUUCUAGCAAUGCAUAUGCGGCCCGUACCAAAACCGACACAGGUGGGCAGGGAGAGAAUCCCGAGGUGAGCGAGAGAACUGUUGCCAAGGAACUCGGCAAAAUGACUCCGUAAGUUAGCGAGAAGGAGUGCUUAAGCAAUUAAGCCGCAGUGAAGAGGCCCAAGCGACUGUUUAACUAAAACACAGCUCUCUGCGAAGUCGCAAGACGAAGUAUAGGGGGUGACACCUGCCCGGUGCUGGAAGGUUAAGAGGAUCUGUUAAGAGCGAUCUGAAGCAGUGAUCCGAAGCCCCAGUGACCGGCGGCCGUAACUAUAACGGUCCUAAGGUAGCGAAAUUCCUUGUCAGGUAAGUUCUGACCCGCACGAAAGGUGUAACGAUUUGGGCGCUGUCUCGGCAGCAGACUCGGUGAAAUCUUAGUACCUGUGAAAAUGCAGGUUACCCGCAACUAGACGGAAAGACCCCAUGGAGCUUUACUGCAGCCUGAUAUUGAAUUCUGGUCAUACAUGUACAGGAUAGGUGGGAGACAAAGAGACGUGCACGCCAGUGUACGAGGAGUCGACGUUGGGAUACCACUCUUGUGUGACCGGGGUUCUAACCUGGUAUCGAGAACAGGUACGGGGAGAGUGUCAGGUGGGCAGUUUGACUGGGGCGGUCGCCUCCCAAAGAGUAACGGAGGCGCCCAAAGGUACGCUCAGAUUGGAUGGAAACCAAUCGUCGAGUGCAAUUGCAGAAGCGUGCUUGACUGUGAGACAGACAAGUCGAACAGGGACGAAAGUCGGGAAUAGUGAUCCGGCGGUGCCGAAUGGAAGG